AUGAGAGUGUAUUUUUCAUGGUAAUUUUCAUAAUUAAAAAGUAUUCAAAAUAUUUGUCUCGCCAUUUUGGAGAGCAAACUAAACAUUAAUCAAUUUUAAAUAACAUUAUAAUACAUAUUAUGGAAAAGUCACAGUUUUUGCCGCCGAGUUACAGUUUUCGCCACGCCUACGCCUACUUUAACAUGGAAUUCUCAUAAGAACUGCCCUAUGAGCAAUGAAAAUUUUUUAAAUAUUGCUCUUUUUUGGUAAUAUUUAAAAACAUUUUCCAAAUGUUAUUUAAAGAUAUUAUUUUUAGUAAUAUUGUUGUAAUAUUACUACAGUCCUAUGACAAUAUUAAGAAAUAUGUUUUUUAAAUAUUAAAAACGAAAUAUUUAACAAAUAUUUAAAAAUGUUUGUUUAUUAUUUCUAUUGCCAAUAAUAUAAAAAAAUAUUUGGCAAUGUUUGUUUAAUAUUUCUAUUGCCAAUAUUUAUAAUACUAUUUCUGAAUAUUGGUAAAACUUAAAAAUAAAAUAAUAAACAAUGCGAACGCCAACAAUGAUAUUUUUAUAUUCUUUUCAAACUUUUGGUGCGUUGUCGAUUGUUGUCGAUCGACUCGAUUGUUUUCGAUCGACUCGAUUGUUUUCGAUCGACGCCAUGAUUUUUUUAAAUUCAAACAAUCGAGUCAAUCAACAUUCGAAUCGAUCGACUCGAUUGUUGUUGAUCGACUCGAUUGUUUGAAUUUAAAAAAAUCAUGGCGAAAAAGGGUGUGAGUAGAUCUGACUGCGAAUUGAAGGCAAGUUUUUUAGUUAUUGAGAGUGACGUACGUUACUGCCUGAAGCGCGCGUUCAUCGUAAAUCGCAUUGGGUCCGGCGUCCGGUGAAUUCUCGGAAAUAUUGGAAACUUGUGGCAAGUGGCUUAUCGUUUAAUUUUUAGUCGAAGAUUCGCUUGAAUUGGUGGAUGCGGAGAAUGAUUGAAAGAAGACAGCAAUUUAUCAGCGCUGCAAGAAUUCCAUUCGCGUCGGUUUUCGUUAAUUAAUUUUUAAUUGUAGAUAUGGAAAAGUUACAUUUUCUGCCGGGUUACAAAUCUCGCCAUUUUUUAUGAGAAUUCCAUGUUAAAGUAGGCGUGGCGAAAACUGUAACUCGGCGGCGAAAACUGUGACUUUUCCAUAAUAUGUAUUAUAAUGUUAUUUAAACUUGAUUAAUGUUUAGUUUGCUCUCCAAAAUGGCGAGACAAAUAAUGUGCAUAUCUUUUUAAUUAUGAAAAUUACUAUGAAAAUACACUCUCAUUAUGCAAAAACAUUCAUCGAAUAUUAUUUUAAAAUAUUGCCCCAAUAUAAAGAGCAUAAAAAAUAUUCGCAAAAUAUUAUUAAAAUGACCUCGGAAAUAUUGGUGAAAUCUUAAAAUAACAUUUUCCAAACAUUGCUCAGUAUUAAAAAUAAAUAUUACCUUUAAAUGUUCCAUAAAUAAUUACCGAAGAUAAAAAGCGUGUCAAAUAUUAUUCACUGAAUAUUAAAAAUAAAUUUAACCAAAAUGUUCUAGGAACAUUCAGCAAUAUUCUA